ACCCAAACAGCUAGCCCAACCUAACAAACCAACAACCCACAUCAAUAAACCCAUAAAGAUAAGCACCUAAAAACAAACCAUUUUCCCCCCUCAGUAUGGGAGACAAAACAGGAACUUGGCGCUAUAGAGACCAGUACCGCAAGGGAACGCUGAAAGAGAAUUGAAACAACCCAGUUAAGGCCAGGGAAGCAGAGACUACACCUCGUACCUUUUGCAUCAUGACUUAGCAAGUACCCCCAAGCAAAGAGCCCUUUACGUUUGAACCCCCGAAACUGUGCGAGCUACUCCGAGACAGCCUAUGUAGGGCGAACCCGUCUCUGUGGCAAAAGAGUGGGAAGAGCUCCGAGUAGAGGUGACAGACCUACCGAGCACAGUUAUAGCUGGUUGCCCGAGAAACGAAUAGAAGUUCAACCUUUUAAUUUCUUGAACCAAAGUAGGGGCCCUCCCUCCCCAGGCCAAAAGAAUAUUAAAAGAGCUAUUCAAAAGAGGAACAGCUCUUUUGAAAUAAGACACAACUUUUUUGGUAGGGUAAAGACUAAAACUAACAAGGAACGCGCCCAGGCGGGCCUGAAAGCAGCCACCCUACCAGAAAGCGUUAAAGCUCAGGCGUAUACACCCCCUAAUUCUAGUUGUACUCUCUUAUCCCGCCCCAUCCUAUCGGGCUUUCCCAUUCCACCAUGGGAGAAAAACUGCUAAUAUGAGUAAUAAGGGAACUAACCCCUCCCUCCCUGCCCAAGUGUAAUCAGGUCAGACUCUUGCUGAAGAUUAACGCCCCCACAAGAGGGGAAUAGGACACCAUAAGAACAACUAGAUGUGCCCCGAUAAUUAAGCGUUAGCCCCACACUGGAAGGCCCAGGGAAAGACAUAAGGGAAGAGAAGGAACUCGGCAAACACCAGCCUCGCCUGUUUACCAAAAACAUCGCCUCUUGCAAGCCCAGUAUAAGAGGUCCCGCCUGCCCUGUGACUAAGGUUUAACGGCCGCGGUAUUUUGACCGUGCGAAGGUAGCGUAAUCACUUGUCUUUUAAAUGGAGACCUGUAUGAAUGGCACAACGAGGGCUAAGCUGUCUCCUCUUGCUAGUCAAUGAAAUUGAUCUGCCCGUGCAGAAGCGGGCAUGCUCACAUAAGACGAGAAGACCCUAUGGAGCUUAAGGCUCCCAGACAGACCAUGUUAAUUACCCCCAGUCAUAGGGAAAAAACCAAAUGUAUACUGUCUGACUGCCUUUGGUUGGGGCGACCACGGGGGAACAUAAAGCCCCCGAGAGGAACGGCAUACACCCUUUAGGCCAGAGCCACAGCUCGGGCACCCAGAAAUUCUGACCACCAAGAUCCGGCAACGCCGAUUAACGGACCCAGUUACCCUAGGGAUAACAGCGCAAUCCUCUUUUAGAGCCCAUAUCGACAAGAGGGUUUACGACCUCGAUGUUGGAUCAGGACAUCCUAUUGGUGCAGCCGCUAUUAAGGGUUCGUUUGUUCAACGAUUAAAGUCCU
rnacentral:rRNA from 1 species